UACGUAGGGGGCAAGCGUUGUCCGGAAUCAUUGGGCGUAAAGCGCGUGUAGGCGGUCCGGUAAGUCCGCUGUGAAAGUCGGGGGCUCAACCCUCGGAUGCCGGUGGAUACUGUCGGGCUUGAGUACGGAAGAGGCGAGUGGGAUUCCUGGUGUAGCGGUGAAAUGCGCAGAUAUCAGGAGGAACACCAAUUGCGAAGGCAGCUCGCUGGGACGUUACUGACGCUGAGACGCGAAAGCGUGGGGAGCAAACGGG
rnacentral:rRNA from 1 species